UACGUAGGCAGCGAGCGUUGUUCGGAGUUACUGGGCGUAAAGGGUGCGUAGGCGGUUGUUUAAGUUUGGUGUGAAAUCUCCCGGCUCAACUGGGAGGGUGCGCCGAAUACUGAAUGACUAGAGUGCGGGAGAGGAUAGUGGAAUUCCUGGUGUAGCGGUGAAAUGCGUAGAUAUCAGGAGGAACACCUGUGGCGAAAGCGGCUCACUGGACCAUAACUGACGCUGAUGCACGAAAGCUAGGGGAGCAAACAGG
rnacentral:rRNA from 1 species